CCUGACUUCGGGUUCUGAGCCCGACCGUUUUCAUCAAGGACUCUCAAUAUUCACCCCAUACACUAGUCACUUCAACUAAUAACAUUCACUCUCCCUGCAGGACAAGGGGUGGAUUAUGGAAUUCCGGCUUUCAGAGGGCUUACUACCUAAUUGAGACAGGGGAACACUCUGAAGUACAACUUAAUUAAUGAUCACUUAAUUAUCCUGUGCUCUGUAACUCAACCUUUAGAGCACUGGCCCAGAAUGUAUAUGGCCCCGAGUUAUCCCUAGAGCUAGGGAAACUAGCUUCAUAAUGGCCCUGCUUGGACUGUGGGGAAAUAAAGAGUGCACGAAUUUCCACGGUAAUAAAAUAGAGAGAAAUGAGGAAUUUCUGGUUUGAGUCAAAGUGGACUCGCUCUUGCCUCCAAGCCGUGUUUAUUUUCUUUCUUGAGGCUGCACAUGCUCGCCACCAUGCCUCCUCCUCCAUGCCUCUCAUCUCCAGGCGCAUAACACUUCUUCAACCUAGCCCAGGACUGCAGGAAAGGGGCCAUCGGGAAAGCUGCC
rnacentral:lncRNA from 1 species